UCGGGUGUCUUCGGCGGCGCUUUGCGGCCAGUCGUGCGGGCCGGGCGCGGCGGGCGCGGCGGCAGUGGCGCGCACAGGUGAUUGACUGGCCAGUUGCCUGAGGGAGCGCCUGGUCCUCACUGCUGGCAGGUGGCGGAGACCAUUUGGGCGGCGGCGGAGGAGGUGGCGGCGGCAGUGGCGGCCCGGCGCGGGAGGCGCUUCUCGGGCCAAGGCCAUGGCCCCGCGUUUGCAGCUGGAGAAGGCGGCCUGGCGCUGGGCGGAGACGGUGCGGCCCGAGGAGGUGUCGCAGGAGCACAUCGAGACAGCUUACCGCAUCUGGCUGGAACCAUGCAUCCGUGGCGUGUGCAGGCGAAACUGCAAAGGAAAUCCGAAUUGUUUGGUUGGGAUUGGUGAGCAUAUUUGGUUAGGAGAAAUAGAUGAAAAUAGUUUCCAUAACAUUGAUGACCCCAACUGUGAGAGGAGAAAAAAGAACUCAUUUGUGGGCCUGACUAACCUUGGAGCUACUUGUUAUGUCAACACAUUUCUUCAAGUGUGGUUUCUCAACCUGGAGCUUCGGCAGGCACUGUACUUAUGUCCAAGUACCUGUACUGAGUACGUCAUGGGAGACGGUAUCCACGAAGAGAAAGAUUAUGAGCCUAAAACAAUUUGUGAGCACCUCCAGUACUUGUUUGCCCUGUUGCAGAACAGUAACAGACGAUACAUUGAUCCAUCAGGCUUUGUUAAAGCCUUGGGCUUGGACACUGGGCAACAGCAGGAUGCUCAAGAGUUUUCAAAGCUUUUUAUGUCUCUAUUGGAAGAUACUUUGUCUAAACAAAAGAAUCCAGAUGUGCGGAAUAUUGUCCAACAGCAGUUCUGUGGGGAAUAUGCUUAUGUAACUGUUUGCAAUCAGUGUGGCAGAGAGUCUAAGCUUUUAUCAAAGUUUUAUGAACUGGAGUUAAAUAUCCAAGGCCACAAACAGUUAACAGAUUGUAUCUCGGAAUUUUUGAAGGAAGAAAAAUUAGAAGGAGAUAAUCGAUACUUUUGUGAAAAUUGUCAAAGCAAACAGAAUGCAACAAGGAAGAUCCGACUCCUUAGUCUUCCUUGCACUCUGAACUUACAGCUAAUGCGUUUUGUCUUUGACAGGCAAACUGGACAUAAGAAAAAGCUGAAUACCUACAUUGGCUUCUCAGAAAUUUUGGAUAUGGAGCCUUAUGUGGAACAUAAAGGUGGGUCCUAUGUGUAUGAGCUCAGUGCGGUCCUCAUACACAGGGGAGUGAGUGCUUAUUCUGGCCACUACAUCGCCCACGUGAAAGAUCCACAGUCUGGUGAAUGGUACAAGUUUAACGACGAAGACAUAGAAAAGAUGGAGGGGAAGAAAUUGCAACUAGGGAUUGAGGAAGAUCUAGCAGAACCUUCAAAGUCCCAAACACGUAAACCCAAGUGUGGCAAAGGAACUCACUGCUCUCGAAAUGCAUACAUGUUGGUUUAUAGAUUGCAAACUCAAGAAAAGCCCAACACAACUGUUGAAGUUCCAGCCUUUCUUCAAGAGCUGGUAGAUCGGGAUAAUUCCAAAUUUGAGGAGUGGUGUAUUGAAAUGGCCGAGAUGCGUAAGCAAAGUGUGGAUAAAGGAAAAGCAAAACACGAAGAGGUUAAGGAGCUGUACCAAAGGUUACCUGCUGGAGCUGGUCUGUAAGAUAUUUUGGGACAGCACUGUUGCCAUUAAGUGCCUUGUUUUUUUUAUGUUCACAAAUGUAUAUGAACAAACUUCCUCCUAUCUUUUCUUAUAACUCACUACAGCCCGCUUAUACACUCUAAAAUUACUGUGUAAACCAGCAAUACCUUGAUGUGUAGCAUUCCAUAUAAUUUAAAUUAUCUUGUAUUUUAAAAGGAGUGGUUGUUAAUAAAUUAUAAGAUUUAGGUCAGCACUCUGCAUACGUGAGUUUUGUAGAUACACCUAUUUGUGAGAUAUUGUUUCUAAAGAAAAAUCUGAUUACUAUUGGGAACAACUUACUUGUUCUGUUUUCUUUGAAUACUUUGUGCCCUGACAGUAUUAAGAGGCAUUCUUUUAUAUGGAUGCAAUUUUUUGAGUAUAAUUUUUGAUAUUAUUUGAUGAACUUGAAAUUUAAUAUAAAAUGUUAAGAGAAGAAAAGCUCUCUGCUGCCCCUUGAUUUCUUAGAAUUAUCCCGUGUAACUCAGCUCAUCUCAUUACUAUUGAAUAUGUUUAUUCAAGUUUAUAGUGUCUCAGAAAAGAAACCAACUUCAUUAAGCUGAUAUGCCAUUUGUAAUAAGUUAUCUUUGUCAUUUCACAGACAUGAAUUCCCCAAACCUAACUCUUGCUUACAGAAGAUAAACAAUUUAAUCCCACCUUUAGAAAAUAAAUACUCAAGCAUAAUUAUACUUGUGGUUUUGUCUUUUUAAUAUCUUUAAUUAUCCAUUACUGGCAUAACUUUAAAUGGAAGAUGAAUAUAAAUUGCUAAAUCUGUAAGAGUAUCUUACAGGCUUUUUCUAAACUGCAUCUUAAUUUGAUUCUGACCCUUCUUUGUAACCUGUUUCUUUAACUUUAUCCAAGGGUUGGGAUUAUCCUAAAGAAUUAGACCUUAAUUUAACUGGAAAUGAUUUGGAAAUGAACCCAUGACUCAAAUCUCUAAAUUUACAGGUCUUUGUUCAAAGGAGUUGGGACCUAGAAAUCUAUUUUCUGAACUGUAUUCACAGUUUCCUGUAUUCACUGGGCAAGAGAAAGGACUUACUGGGUCUAAAGAGAAAUUCUAUUUUGAACCACUCCUUAGAACUAUAUAGUUCAAAGAUGUUUACAUGUUAACACUGUGUUUCCCUUGGCUGUUUUCAUUCAGUGUGUAAGAACCUGUACCUAUGUUCUUAGGUUAUAUUAUUUGUACUUUUACUGAUUAGUAGUUUUAUAGUUUUUUCCAUUUGCAGUAAACUUACAUAGUGAAAAUUCCUUGUUGUCCUAAAGGGAUGUAAAAUCUCAGUUAAUGGCCAUGGUUUUGUGCUGGUAAUGAAAGUCUUUGGUGCGCACUUUCUAAAUCUUUGUGAACAUAUUGAAAAUGGCCACUUAUCCUAGAAAUCUAAGCCUCGUGGGAACACCCUUUGACCCUUUUAAGUUCAAAUAUUUUAAAAUUAUCACUAGUUAAGGUGUUUGAAAUAUAUUUUAUGCUAUGAUUGUUCUAGACUUUAUAAUUUUACAACAGAAAAUUGGUUAUUUUUAAAAUCCAGGCAUUUUUUUUUUUUUUUAAUUAGAAGUAAUUUUUAGCCCAAAAUGUGUAGUUCCCCUUUGGCAAAUAUUUUAAUAAUUGCUUUCCGUUUCACCUAAUGCUGAUAUUUCAUAUAGUCUGAUCUCUCCAACUUGAUAAUGAGGUAGAGGCCUCAUUCCCAUUUGGUCAUUGAUCGUGCUUUGGAACUCCAUACUUAGGUAGUUCUCCAAAACACACAUACUACAGAGUCUGCCUUUACUGGGAGACUUGGGUAGACCCCUGUUCUCAGCGAUGCUCUUGGCAGAGAUUGAUGCAUCUCUUUAUGGUGCUAAAGAUUGAAAAUGAAAGAGAAAGAAAGACCUCUGUGACCACAGUUUCUUCCUCCCAUGGGUCCCAUAGCACACUAAACUGAAAUCUGCCUGAGUUAAUAAUAAAUGCAGUGUUAGGAUUAGAAUUAUGGGUGCAGUCUCUGCUUUCUUCCUUCCUCUUCUUACUAUAAAAUAAUACAUGGUUCUUCUACUCUUCAUAUAUUAAAUUCAUCUUGAACUAUUCAAAAACUGAAACAACAAGCUUCACUUGGCAGUUUUCUGUGGGAUUGGACAAUGUCUUGCACUAACUGCAUUUGAGUCAUAUUGUUGGUGGACAGGUCAGGGGUACAGUUACCCGAGGCCUUGAAUUUCUACAGAUAUCUCUUGGCAAGGACUGCUUUGUGCAUUUUUAGUUCCCCUAGAGUCCUUUCGUUAUUGUAAUGGCCAGGAUUCUUACAUUUAUUCUUCCAAUUAAGUGGGCAAAUAACCUCUAUUUGCCCCUCCCCAGAGGCUAGGGAGACUAGAACACGUAGUGAAUUAUUCUUCAAGGUUGUUCUUUAUCACAAUCCUGGUUUUAUUUUUUUUCUUUGAUAGCCUUCAAGAUUACUCACAAUUUUAAGCUAUCUCACUGUAUUUGGGAAAAGAUUAGAUAUGCUGAAAUUUUUUAGUUUGCUCUGCGAUAGGGAGCAAAUAUCUUUACAUUCUUUAGAUACCCGUUGUUCUCUGUCCCUGGGAGAUUAAACUUGAUACAUGGCAAAAAAAAUUGAGAGGUAUUUUGAAUGUAAUUAACCAUACCAUGAUGUAAAAUGCCACAGCUAUGUUACCCAUACUGCAUCUUAAGGUCUCCCCUCUUACAUAUUGUGUGAAUGUAUAAUUAACUGUUCUAUAUCUCUUUUCUUCCAAAAAGCUCAAAAUGCUUCAUAUAUCUUACCUUUUACACUCAACAACAUCCCUGUGAGAGCCCUAUGAGUUUGUCUCUCUUGAGUGGCUGCAGAAGUGGUUGGAUGAAUCGACACCUACCAAGCCUAUUGAUAAUCACGCUUGCCUGUGUGCUCACGACAAGCUUCAUCCAGAUAAAAUAUCA